UUAUGGCACAAUCAUACUCACGAUGUGGAGGUAGCUUAUCUGCCUCCCUCUUUUCAAAAACCAAGGCAAGGUCUGCAUAAACAGAGGGAACAGAAACCGAGAGUGGUUUAGCCGUGGGCACGUUAAGUAAACAGACAGGACAUACAUGAGCCAUACAGUCUCGCUGACAAGAUUCCCCCCAGGAGGGUAUGUCUAAACAACCCCAAUCAAGAACAGGGUUGUGUUUAACUAACCAGGGAAAAC